CUUGGUCAUUUAGAGGAAGUAAAAGUCGUAACAAGGUUUCCGUAGGUGAACCUGCGGAAGGAUCAUUACAGAGUUCAUACCCUCGCGGGUAGAUCUCCCACCCUUGAAUACUAUACCUUAGUUGCUUUGGCAGGCCGUGGAAACACCACGGGCCCCCGGCUUGUGCGUGCCUGCCAGAGGAAACAAACUCUGUUUUUAGUAAUGUCUGAGUACUAUAUAAUAGUUAAAACUUUCAACAACGGAUCUCUUGGUUCUGGCAUCGAUGAAGAACGCAGCGAAAUGCGAUAAGUAAUGUGAAUUGCAGAAUUCAGUGAAUCAUCGAAUCUUUGAACGCACAUUGCGCCCCGUGGUAUUCCGCGGGGCAUGCCUGUUCGAGCGUCAUUUCAACCAAUCAAGCCUCGGCUUGGUCUUGGGGUUUGCGGUCCCGCAUCUCCUAAACUCAGUGGCGGUACGAUUGAGCUCUGAGCGUAGUAAUUUUUCUCGCUAUAGAGUCUUGGUCGUUACUUGCCGGUAACCCCCCCUUUUUAUUUAUUUAUUAGGUUGACCUCGGAUCAGGUAGGGAUACCCGCUGAACUUAAGCAUAUCAAUAAGCGGAGGA
rnacentral:rRNA from 1 species